AGAGUUCAUGAGUCAGUGGCAGUAUGGAGUGUCCACAGGAAAGCCAAGCUUUUCACAGCUCAUUGUCCUCACUGACGGGCCAUCCGCCCUGUCUGGCUUUUCCAUUGUUGUACCUGAAGUGUUGGCAGUGGGCCUCACCCAAAGUAGCAUAGUUGAAAUACAGAUACAUAGUCAGUAUUCCUAACU